UACGUAGGUGGCAAGCGUUGUCCGGAAUUAUUGGGCGUAAAGGGCGCGUAGGCGGCUUUUCAAGUGGCGGGUGAAAUCCCUCGGCUUAACCGAGGAACUGCCUGCCAGACUGGAUGGCUUGAGACCGGGAGAGGUGAGUGGAAUUCCCAGUGUAGCGGUGAAAUGCGUAGAUAUUGGGAGGAACACCAAUUGCGAAGGCAGCUCGCUGGGACGUCACUGACGCUGAGACGCGAAAGCGUGGGGAGCAAACAGG
rnacentral:rRNA from 1 species